AUCUAUGGAUGAAAGCGGGGGACCGAAAGGCCUCGCGCGAUUGGAGCGGCCGAUGUCAGAUUAGCUAGUUGGUGGGGUAAAGGCCCACCAAGGCGACGAUCUGUAGCUGGUCUGAGAGGACGACCAGCCACACUGGGACUGAGACACGGCCCAGACUCCUACGGGAGGCAGCAGUGGGGAAUUUUGGACAAUGGGCGCAAGCCUGAUCCAGCAAUGCCGCGUGCAGGAAGAAGGCCUUCGGGUUGUAAACUGCUUUUGUACGGAACGAAACGGUCCGGGUUAAUACCCUGGGCUAAUGACGGUACCGUAAGAAUAAGCACCGGCUAACUACGUGCCAGCAGCCGCGGUAAUACGUAGGGUGCAAGCGUUAAUCGGAAUUACUGGGCGUAAAGCGUGCGCAGGCGGUUUUGUAAGACAGGCGUGAAAUCCCCGGGCUCAACCUGGGAAUGGCGCUUGUGACUGUGAAACUGGAGUGCGGCAGAGGGGGAUGGAAUUCCGCGUGUAGCAGUGAAAUGCGUAGAUAUGCGGAGGAACACCGAUGGCGAAGGCAAUCCCCUGGGCCUGCACUGACGCUCAUGCACGAAAGCGUGGGGAACAAACAGGAUUAGAUACCCU
rnacentral:rRNA from 1 species